CUUUUCUCGUAUCAGUGUUCGCUGACCACGAGUCACCGUAGGUGCGAAGGGAACCGUGUAACGUGCCGCCUGGGAGUACGGUCGCAAGGCUGAACUUAAAGGAAUUGGCGGGGGAGCACCACAACGGGUGGAGCCUGCGGUUUAAUUGGACUCAACGCCGGAAAUCUCACCGGAGUGACAGCCUGAAUGAUUGCCGGGCUGAUAGACUUUGCUUGACUAGCUGAGAGGGGGUGCAUGG
rnacentral:rRNA from 1 species